GACGAACGCUGGCGGCGUGCCUAAUACAUGCAAGUCGAACGCUGAAGGAGGAGCUUGCUUCUCCGGAUGAGUUGCGAACGGGUGAGUAACGCGUAGGUAACCUGCCUGGUAGCGGGGGAUAACUAUUGGAAACGAUAGCUAAUACCGCAUAACAGUAGAUAUUGCAUGAUAUCUGCUUGAAAGGUGCAAUUGCAUCACUACCAGAUGGACCUGCGUUGUAUUAGCUAGUUGGUGGGGUAACGGCUCACCAAGGCGACGAUACAUAGCCGACCUGAGAGGGUGAUCGGCCACACUGGGACUGAGACACGGCCCAGACUCCUACGGGAGGCAGCAGUAGGGAAUCUUCGGCAAUGGACGGAAGUCUGACCGAGCAACGCCGCGUGAGUGAAGAAGGUUUUCGGAUCGUAAAGCUCUGUUGUAAGAGAAGAACGAGUGUGAGAGUGGAAAGUUCACACUGUGACGGUAUCUUACCAGAAAGGGACGGCUAACUACGUG
rnacentral:rRNA from 1 species